UCUAUGCCUGGAGAAGGAGCUCCUGAAAUUGAUCAGGGGCUCGACUUCAUUAGAAAAUAACUGGGUGAGAGAAAGGAUGGGCCUCAACACGGAUGUGCAGCCGCAUCAAGGCCCCGUACCUCUUAUCUGUGCAAAACACAUUUAUUUAAAUAAGAGGCUGGAUAAUGCUCCAAAGAGUUUUCUGGCAAAGCAUGACUCCAGAGAACACCGGAGCAUUAACUCAAAGGAUUUGUCUUUUUUAUUAAUAGCUUUAAUCUUUAUGAACUGAACUGUUCCUCCAGCAGCCAGACUAGUUGGGGCUCUUGGAAAUGAUGAAAGCUGCUUCUAUACAGGAGGACCAGGAUGAACAUUAGGAGAAAUCAUAUGUGGCUACGAUUGGAGUGUUUCUUAUUUGUCAGACACUGUGUGCAUUGCAUCAUUGUCUUCCUGUAACCUGCCCGUCUCACAGAUGAAGCAACUGAAGUACAUACAGAGUGAUUAAGUAACUCACCCAAGUUCACACAGCUGAGAGAAGGUCACAGUUUGAUAACCUCAGGAGAACCACAGAAGCUCAUCAGGAGACCACCUGAGACCAGAUUAAAGGACUGCACACCCUGAUUGUCAUCAGUAACCCCACCCUUGAACCACUGCUAUAAAACUCUUCACCAAAUUCCCCCGGGUUGGGACACACAGUGUUGAGGGCAUGAGCCCACUGUAUCCCCCUUUGCGUGGCAAGCAAUAAAACUCUUCUUUUCUACUUCACCCAAAA